GCGGGGAUAGCUCAGCUGGGAGAGCGUCGUAAGUAGUGAAACUGUGCUAGUUCCUUAGACUUUGUUUAAUCUCUAACCCUCCAUAGAGACUGAAGACAAACUUCAAUCUUGAAAUCUGAAGGUCGUGUGUUCGAUCCACACUCACCGCA